rnacentral:rRNA from 1 species
CCUACGGGUGGCUGCAGUGAGGAAUAUUGGUCAAUGGGCGCGAACCUGAACCAGCCAAGUCGCGUGAGGGAGGACGGCCCUACGGGUUGUAAACCUCUUUUGCCGGGGAGCAACGGGCGCCACGUGUGGCGUCCCUGAGAGUACCCGGAUAAAAAGCAUCGGCUAACUCCGUGCCAGCAGCCGCGGUAAUACGGAGGAUGCGAGCGUUAUCCGGAUUUAUUGGGUUUAAGGGGUGCGUAGGCGGAUCGUUUAGUCAGUGGUCAAAUUGAGGGGCUCAACCCCUUCCCGCCAUUGAAACUGGCGUUCUUGAGUGGAAGAGAAGUAUGCGGAAUGCGUGGUGUAGCGGUGAAAUGCAUAGAUAUCACGCAGAACCCCGAUUGCGAAGGCAGCAUGCCGGCUUCCGACUGACGCUGAAGCACGAAAGCGUGGGGAUCGAACAGGAUUAGAUACCCCGGUAGUC